GGAAGGGUUUAUAACUUCAGGUGGAUGCUGAACAGAUAAUUCUGCAGAGCAAGCUUUAUAAAAAGCCAAAGUAGAUGAUGUGGGGUAGAGGGUGAAAGGGGAUGAGUGAAGGCUCCUAGAAUGAAGCUCCAACUUUCCAACUUGAGAGUUCAGUGAUCAGAGGCAUAUUUCAAUGUCUUUUUAGGUGAGAUAUAUAACAUACCUUUCCUAACCCAUGAUAUUUUUAAGAUUAAAAACUGAAGGUGAGUAAAUCUUGAAACUGAAACACGAUGCAAAUCUUGAAGCAUGAAGCAAAUAUUAAUAAUUAUUCUCACUGGUCUUCAUGCUAGUAAUGAUGAUGCCAUUGAAUCUUGAAGGUCCUUAGUAUUGAAGAAUCUGCUAUCAACAAGUAUACAAGCAUAGAAGGGCACAGACGUUAAAUGUUCUUGGACAAGUAUUACUGAUGUUACCUGGAAGUGGUAGAAAUGAGACCCAGGGAGAAUGUUCCAUUUGAGGAAGAGGGGAUACUGAUGCCAUAUGGCUGUGAUCAUCUUCCUAUAUCUCAAAGACUUUGCCCUAAACAUUGUUGCAUUUCCUUAAAGAAAAGAUCAAGAGUUGAGAUUAAACUUGACUUAAAACGCCAGAUAUUUGCCAGAACCUCUAGGAAAUUGAUGAAAUAUUCCUGUCUGAAGGCUGCAACCAAACAUGAUCUCAUCCAUAUCAGCAGCAUUACUAAUAAAACACCAAGGUGCUUCCUGACCUCCAGGAGAGAUGUGUUAAAUUGGAUGGCAGAAAUAAGUCACUGGAACAAAAUGCUUGAGAAAGAACCUGCUCUGCUCCCUACUUUCUUAAAAAUACACUCACAUGUUCUCCCAUAUACCAAAACAAUUAUUCUAGAUUGGAGAUAUUUAAGGAUUCACACUUACGUAAAGAUUCAAUGGACUAAAUUGACUUUUCCGACCAUUAUGCCGUAAGACCUCCAAUAACAUCCAACCACAAAGGAGCUCGAUGAAGCAGGGCACUCUUAUUUCAUAGCCAAAAUAUAAGGUAAGAAAAGAACAAAUUCUACCUUUUAUUUGUGGCAAUGAAUAGAGAAGAAUAAUUUGAAAAUAUGUUCAGAUAAGUUACAUACUAAUAAAUAGUUGAGAAUUUUUUUUAUUUGGUUUUGAAGAGGUCCUGACUGGUAGUGUAAAUUCUCUGUGAAUUACAGUCCUAAGGGGGUUCUAGGAAUAAAUAGUGUUUGCUUUUCUAAAAAGAGGGAAUUUGACAAAAUGCCCUGAAAAUACCCAUGAAACUGUUAUAACCCUAGACUUCUGGUUGAUUAACUCCAAAAGCCCUCAAG
rnacentral:lncRNA from 1 species